UACAUGGGGUGCAAACGUUGCUCGGAAUCAUUGGGCGUAAAGCGCGCGUAGGCGGUUACUUAAGUCGAAUGUGAAAGCCCUCGGCUUAACCGAGGAAGUGCAUCCGAAACUGAGUAGCUAGAGUACGAAAGAGGGUCGCGGAAUUCCCGGUGUAGAGGUGAAAUUCGUAGAUAUCGGGAGGAACACCGGUGGCGAAGGCGGUCUGCUGGGCCGUUGCUGACGCUGAGGCGCGACAGCGUGGGGAGCAAACAGG
rnacentral:rRNA from 1 species